rnacentral:tRNA from 2 species
CGCGGGGUAGAGAACCGGUUAUCUCACGACUCUCAUAAGGUCGAGAAGUGGGUUCAACUCCCACCCCCGCAA